UACGUAGGUGGCGAGCGUUGUCCGGAUUUACUGGGCGUAAAGAGCGCGCAGGCGGCUGGUCAAGUCCGAUGUGAAAGCUCCCGGCUUAACUGGGAAAUUGCAUCGGAAACUGAUCGGCUGGAAGGUGGGAGAGGGUAGCGGAAUUCCCGGUGUAGCGGUGAAAUGCGCAGAUAUCGGGAGGAACACCAAUGGCGAAGGCAGCUCGCUGGGACGUGACUGACGCUGAGACGCGAAAGCGUGGGGAGCAAACAGGG
rnacentral:rRNA from 1 species